GUGGCGAACGGGUGAGUAACACGUGGGCAAUCUGCCCUGCACUCUGGGACAAGCCCUGGAAACGGGGUCUAAUACCGGAUAUGACCUGCCGAGGCAUCUCGGCGGGUGGAAAGCUCCGGCGGUGCAGGAUGAGCCCGCGGCCUAUCAGCUUGUUGGUGGGGUGAUGGCCUACCAAGGCGACGACGGGUAGCCGGCCUGAGAGGGCGACCGGCCACACUGGGACUGAGACACGGCCCAGACUCCUACGGGAGGCAGCAGUGGGGAAUAUUGCACAAUGGGCGAAAGCCUGAUGCAGCGACGCCGCGUGAGGGAUGACGGCCUUCGGGUUGUAAACCUCUUUCAGCAGGGAAGAAGCGAGAGUGACGGUACCUGCAGAAGAAGCGCCGGCUAACUACGUGCCAGCAGCCGCGGUAAUACGUAGGGCGCAAGCGUUGUCCGGAAUUAUUGGGCGUAAAGAGCUCGUAGGCGGCUUGUCCCGUCCGAUGUGAAAGCCGGGGCUU
rnacentral:rRNA from 1 species